GUUUAGUUAUCUACUUUGUAAAUAAAUAAAUAUUAUUCUAUAGAACUAAUCUCUGGGUCACAAGGAAACUUUGCAUAAAUAGCCUUCUCGUUAUUUAAUUGUGUCACACAAAUCAUCUUGAAUGUUUGACAGUUGAAUUAAAAAAUUCAGAUCUCUUUUUUUUCAUUAUAAAUUAUAUUUUCAUUAGAACACAUGUCUACUUCUCAUUGAAAUAAUUUUUCAUCCGGGUAGAAAAUCGCCGCCUAAAAUUUUUUCUACUACUUUCAAAUGCUAUAUAAAACAAUCUGUAAUUGUUUCAUAAUUUUCUCCAUGUUUCGAGAGAUGUCCUAUACAUCCUUAAACAUUUGUAGAACAGAAAAAAAGGAAGAUUCUAAGAAUUUAACGAUUCGAAAAUAAUCUCUUGAAUCUAUUUUAUUUGAGAUUAGUGUGAAGGUUUUAGCGUGAAAACAUUUCCUCGUUAGAAUAAUGAUAUUUGGAUAGAUUAUCGCGCAAAAAUCGCAGGUGGCUGCUCAAAUAGAAGCUGAAUGACAAAUAUCUUCCGUGUAAUGUUAUCGAUCAUUGUAUAAAUAUACACUGGGGCGGGUGCACAUACGUCGAAUGGCUAGGAAACGGAAAUAGACUGGCCACCGAUUGGCUAGGUGGGCGAGCCUCCGUGUGAGGCUUUCGACUCGCGGAUUCUCCGAUUCGCAUACACGCCUUGCUUGUUGCUCUCGCCGUGCGGAAGUGUUACGUUGCUGACGCGUACACACGCGGUACGCACUACUGAGCGUUAGCUCACGAUGACGCAGUGGCCUUGGUCGAUAAAAGACACGUACGGAGGAGAGGAGGUUUUUACGGUAAUCUAAGCGCGAUUCUCGUUUUCGCGGCUCGCCGUUCGGGACAACGAUAACGAUCGAGAUCGACGUGAUUCCGGCAAAUCGUCCGACGUUUCUUUCGGAGGACCGUACCAUAUGCCGAAACGUUUGCGAAGACCGGACGACCAGGUGCACCGGUUACUGCAUUCGCACUAUUGCAGCUCGAUUACGCCUGAAACAUUUAUAAUCGCGAAUUGACCCAGAGACCGUCGAUGCAUCGAUUUUCAAGCAGUCGUCAUCAUUUUUCACACACUCACCGCGGUAAUCGCUGUAGGAAUAUGCCAGUAGACGUCAGAUACGCUGACGUAAGGCGUAAAACGAUAGCACGCAAAGAAAGCAAACUUUCUCCGUGAUAUACGCGGACGAUGCUUGUCCUUACGGAAAAAACCUUACGAUUCGCUCGUUACGUGAGAUAUGACAUGAGAAUUACGAUUAAUAUUUUAUCAGAAUGAGGAGCAACUUCUUAAGUUCUCGGCCAAACAGAUUAUUUGAUAAAAUCUCUUUCGCCGAUAACGGCGCUCGUUCUGCAAAGAACGUAUAAAAGCAAUUUGAAGGAAAAGGCUUGAAGGCAAGACCUCGCACUUUUCGUAAUUUGACAGCCCGAUGCAGACCUUUGCCGAGCAUGAAUGUUCUCUCACUCUACGUCAUUAUGGCGAAUAAUCUUAUGAUUAAUUCAACGAUAGCUGCAUUUAACGUUGCGUUGCGCAACGUGAGACGCAGGAACGGAUGCUAAUGUGUGUCGAUCUCAAAAGCCGGAUUAACGACGCAAAUAUGAAAAUCAUAUUUCCUUUCGACUACAGUCCGAUCUAUCGCCUGAUGUCGCGAUAGAGAUCGCAAUCGGAAGUCCACUUAUUAAUUCUGUCUUGUCGACUGACGAUUUGCGCAAUCAUUUGCUCUGAUGUAUCAACAAUAAAUAGGAAUAAAUAAGUAAAA